UACGUAGGGUGCAAGCGGUAAUCGGAAUUACUGGGCGUAAAGCGUGCGCAGGCGGUUUUGUGAGACAGGCGUGAAAACCCCGGGCUCAACCUGGGAAUUGCGCUUGUGACUGCAAAGCUGGAGUGCGGCAGAGGGGGAUGGAAUUCCGCGUGUAGCAGUGAAAUGCGUAGAUAUGCGGAGGAACACCGAUGGCGAAGGCAAUCCCCUGGGCCUGCCCUGACGCUCAUGCACGAAAGCGUGGGGAGCAAACAGG
rnacentral:rRNA from 1 species